CUACGGGGGGCUGCAGUCGAGAAUCAUUCGCAAUGCGCGAAAGCGUGACGAUGCGACGCUGCGUGGAGGAUGACGGCCUUAGGGUUGUAAACUCCUGUCAUAAGGGAAAAGACAGUGGUGGGUUAAUAACCCAUCGCCUCGAUGGUACCUUAAGAGGAAGCCACGGCUAACUCUGUGCCAGCAGCCGCGGUGAAUACAGAGGUGGCGAGCGUUGUUCGGAUUUACUGGGCGUAAAGGGUGCGUAGGCGGUUUGGUAAGUCGGAUGUGAAAGCCCAAGGCUCAACUUUGGAACUGCAUCCGAUACUGCUGAACUAGAGUGCAGGAGGGGAGAGCGGAAUUCUUGGUGUAGCGGUGAAAUGCGUUGAUAUCAAGAAGAACACCGGUGGCGAAGGCGGCUCUCUGGAAUGUUACUGACGCUGAGGCACGAAAGCUGGGGGAGCAAACAGGAUUAGAUACCCUCGUAGUC
rnacentral:rRNA from 1 species